GCCAGUAUGGCUUAGUGGUUUGAGUGUUGGAUGAUGUCUCUGGAGACCUGGGUUCAAUUCCUAGCUUGGCCA
rnacentral:tRNA from 1 species